AUUGAACGCUGGCGGCAUGCCUUACACAUGCAAGUCGAACGGUAACAGGUCUUCGGAUGCUGACGAGUGGCGAACGGGUGUGUAAUACAUCGGAACGUGCCCGAUCGUGGGGGAUAACGAAGCGAAAGCUUUGCUAAUACCGCAUAAGAUCUACGGAUGAAAGCAGGGGACCGCAAGGCCUUGCGCGAACGGAGCGGCCGAUGGCAGAUGAGGUAGUUGGUGGGAUAAAAGCUUACCAAGCCGACGAUCUGUAGCUGGUCUGAGAGGACGACCAGCAACACGGGGACUGAGACACGGCCCAGACUCCUACGGGAGGCAGCAGUGGGGAAUUUUGGACAAUGGGCGAAAGCCUGAUCCAGCCAUGCCGCGUGCAGGAUGAAGGCCUUCGGGUUGUAAACUGCUUUUGUACGGAACGAAAAGACUCCUUCUAAUAAAGAGGGUCCAUGACGGUACCGUAAGAAUAAGCACCGGCUAACUACGUGCCAGCAGCCGCAGUAACAC
rnacentral:rRNA from 1 species